rnacentral:rRNA from 1 species
AUAUAAGUAAAUAUAAUAAUUAAAUUAUUAUUUAGAGGAAUUAUAAAAAUAUAGAGAAUAUGAUGUUAGUUCAGACUUAAUACUAUAUAGAGACAUAACACAUGCAAAUCAAACGAUUAUUUAAUUGAUAUAUAAUUAUAUAAUAUUAAUAUUAUAUAAUUCAAAUAAUAAUAAUUAAGUGGUGUAUCCGUGAGUAAUAAAUAGAAUUAGAACUAAUAUAUCUUUUAAAUGAAGAAUAACAAAUAAAGAUAAUUAUUAAAUUAAUUAUUGAUAUUAGUCAGCUAUUAGCAGUAUAGGUAUUAUGUAGGAUAAUAGCCAUACAUAGCCGAUAAUCUGUAGCAAUUAAUUAACGUUAUAAUUGUCACGUCGAUUAUGAAAUACAAUCGAUAUCUAUAUGAUACAGCAGUGAGGAAUAUUGGGCAAUGAUCGAAAGAUUGACCCAGUUAUCUAUAAUAAUGAAAUUUCAAUUUUCUUAUUUAUUUUUUUUUUUUAAAAAAUUUAAAUAUAGUAAAGAAAAAAUUGUUAUAAAUUAAAGUUAUAGACUAGCGAGAAUAAUGAUAGUAGCUAUCAUCAGAUUAUGAUGAAUAUAAAAUUUAUUUUAUAUGUCGAUUAGUACCGAUUAAGAUAUGUGCCAGCAUUCGCGGUUAUACAUAGGGUGCAAGUAUUAGUUAUAUUGGUUUAAAGGAUCC